rnacentral:rRNA from 1 species
UUUAAGGUCUAACCUGCCCAAUGAGGAUUUAAAUGGCCGCAGUAUUUUGACUGUGCAAAGGUAGCAUAAUUAUUAGUUUUUUAAUUGAAAGCUUGUAUGAAGGGUUGGACGAGAUGAAAUCUGUCUUUAUUUAAAUUAAAAUAUAAUUUAACUUUUAAGUAAAAAGGCUUAAAUGUUUAUAAAAGACGAGAAGACCCUAUAGAUCUUUAUUUAAUUAAAAUUUUAAUAAUUUAGGAUUAUUUUAAUUUAAAGUUUUAAUUAAAUUUUAUUGGGGUAAUAUAAAGAUUAAAUAAAUUCUUUUUAUUUAUGACAUUGAUUUAUGAAUAUAUGAUCCAUUAAUAUUGAUUAUAAGAUUAAGUUACCUUAGGGAUAACAGCGUAAUUUUUUUGGAGAGCUCAUAUCGAUAAAAAAGUUUGCGACCUCGAUGUUGGAUUAAAAAUUAGCUUGGGUGCAGAAGCUCAAGAUUUUGGUCUGUUCGACCAUUAAAUUUUUACAUGAUCUGAGUUCAGACCGGCGUGAGCCAGGUCGGUUUCUAUCUUUAUUAAGAUAAAAUGUUUUAGUACGAAAGGACCAAAUAUUUAAUAUAAUUAUAUUUAUUUUUU